GUCAGAUUACAAAUUCUGGAAUAAAAAGUCGUAAAAUUUUGAUCCGUCAUUAUAGGUAAAGUUAGUUUUAGUGUUUCCUGCACGGCAAAAAGUCUCAUGCCUAGGAAAAACUGAAGUCUAGCUGACUAAAAAGAAAUAAAAGCAAAUUUCCGGCAACUCUUAUACGUCACUUUUAGAAGUACGUAUAAUUGAGUUUUAAUAUUUUAUAACUUCGUUAUUUGAUACCUUGAUAAAAUGAACCAACUCUUGAUUAGGACUUACGAAAAUAGUUUUUUUCAUCGGGUUUCUAAAAGUGUUCCCAUCUGCGAUGCUUUAAAAAAUUUCAGAUCCAUUAUACUCUUAUGCUGAUUGUAAAAUGAUGAAUAUUUAAUUGAGCAAACUGUGUUUUUGUAUCGAUGGAAUUUUUUCCAAAUUGCUUUUAUUUUAUUUUUAUAAGGCUGUCGUUUUAUCUUUAAUGACAAUUUGCUUUCAAAAAUUAUCAUUUAUGUUUAAAAGCGGAACGCAUUUCUUUGUUCAAAAAUCUUGGGGCAUUUCCAAAAGCCACAAAAAAUUCAAUUUAAUUCGUUUCACUUCAAUAAAAUAUAUUGAAAAAGGCAACAAAAACGCAAAAUGGUAGUUUAUUCCAACUAAAAAAAAUGUUUCCUUUCCAACAAAAUCACAUUUUAUUCCAUUCACAAUUUAUUAACAGUUUCUAUCAAGUUUUGUAAAAAGCUCUCUUGUCAGUUUUCAAGCUGAGCUAGUCUGAAUAUAUAAAAUCGCAUUUUCUUAUAAAUCUUCAAAAUUCUGAAGCCUUGUUUUUAUGAAUACAUUUAAUCAAUUUUGAAGUUGAUUUCUCUUGAUUUGAGAUCCAAAGCAGCCUUUUACGCUGAUUUGAGUACUAAUUAAGCCUGUCUGUUUCCCCUCCUAACAGGUAACGCUGUUAACUUGAGAGUUAUUGCACCGCAAGUCGGAAAUUAGUCCAACGUAACGGGGGAAUUAAGGGUCUUUGGAGGGGUAAGGGGUGCUUUUUUCGAAGGUAACUGAAGAAACGGGAUAUCCUUAAACGGGUAAAAUGAGGGAAAUUAAUUUCCGUGACUUUCCAAUUUUCCUCAAUUUUUGAGAUUUUUUUUCCUUUUCGGGACGCUAAGAAACUCCUGUGGUGAUCUUAGUGUUUAGCAGAGAGUCAAACCUUGUCUACGCAUCCCAUUUUCAAAAAAUUGCCUCGAGGAAAAAGAAGGGGCUAAAUGGUAUAAGAUCUUGUUUUCCCACCGCGUUAAUUGGCUUGCUUUGUUCGUUUCCCAGUUAAUUUUGUCUUUCAUGACACUAUUUGGUCUCUAGCAGAAAAUGUCGUCUCUUCAAGACGCCUGCUGUGAACACAAAGGAUGCUCUAUGUCACUUACAAUUUUCUCCGUUCCAAAAAACACCGAAAUAAUUAAUUCCUCGCUCCUUUUUCAAAAUUGUUCCCUCCCUCCCUUAAGUUCAGAAACAUUCGCAAUUAUUGCAUCUUUUUCACCACUUCAUAAGAAAGGUAGCGGCAAAAAACGCUGAUUGCGCGUUGCACCUCUAAAUUUAACCCCACUCUAAAUUUACUCUUUUUGCCCCUCCCUCAUUUUGUAUGAUUUUUCUUAGGAUGAAAUUUUCAAGUAUAACUGGGCAAACACCACGGUGGAAUGUGUCAAAGUUAGCCUUUAUUUUCCAUCAAUACUUCAAUAUUUUAUCCUCCUAGGCUUGGUACGUUUGCAUAAACAGUGUAAAAAUUUGGUGCAUUUUAGAAAAUACAAUCGAAUUUACGCCCGCCGUACACUUGUUUUACAAGCUAUGACAAGGAUUAAUCUUUUUCUUACAUUCGACUCCCAGCAUCCAAGUGUAGGAAUUUAAACAGGAUUCAACAAUAGAAAGUUAAAGAACUAAAUUUACACGGGUUCGAUUAUUCAAAAAACGUGAAAUUCUAGUUAAAUGGGUUGAUCCCUGAAUAGUAACAAAGUACGAAACUCAAUCAAAACGAUCAUGGUCGACGUAUUUACGGUUAUUCAAGUUGUCGCCAAUAUUUUCGUCCCAAACGACAAAAAAUGUUCCCCGUGCGAAGUUCCAUCCCUGAAAAAGUUCAAUUGCGAUUGCACAACAACAACUAUAAAUUGUGAAAACCGACGAAUAACUUCUCUUCCUACCCUCGAAGACGGUUGCAUCUUCAAAGGCACUACCGAAAUCAGUUUCGCCAACAACGAAAUAUCAAAAAUUAAUCACGACGCUUUCAAAGGACUACAAGUCAAGGGGUCGAGUUCGGGCCAGUUGCGACUCGAUUUGUCAUCCAAUAGAAUUUCAUCAAUAGACGAAGAGAGUCUGAACAGCUUAUCCAAGUUCACGAGCAUUGAUUUGAGUAACAACAAGCUUCAUUCUUCAUCAUUUAAAGGUGACUAUUCACGACUUAAAGCAUUGCAGGAGUUUGAUUUGGGCAGAAACUCUUUAGACAACGUUCCGGGUCAAUUUUGCCAGAUACCUCAUCUUCAGUCGAUUCACGUUGAUGGGAAUCCGGGAAGAGCUUUUCAGGAUACCUCGAGUUGGCGUGAACUUCCCGAAGAUUUUUGGGACAAAACUUGCCUAUCAUCUUCAAUCAAAAUUUCUCCAAUUCCAAUUUUAACACUCAUUAUUUCAUUACUUAUCAGUUGCUAUUUAGAGAUACUUGUAAUUAAAAAUCUAUAGACAUAUUUAAAUUUUAAUUUCGUAUCGGUUCUAUCUAUUUUGUUGUUUCAAAAAUUUUAUAUUUAAA